GAAAAAAAAAGAAAAUUUGACAGGAUUUUCUGUGUGCGGAAGGUGAUUUUUUUGCCGAGUUUUUUUAUCGAAUUUAAAAUGAGAUAUAUAAAAGAAAUUAUUUUUUUGGAAUAUUACGGCAAGCUGUGUGUGUAUACAAUGAAAUAAUGAUAUGGUGGCACGAUGUCUUCGCCUGUGGUUUGCCGUGAAAUAUUCGAUGAAAACAGUCAACCAUCCGCCGAGGAAAUCUCCGACUAUGCUCAGCAACUGGGCAUUGAUCCUGAGAGUGAGAGCCACCUCCUACCAUUGGCUAAAGAUGGACUCAUGCAAGCAUUACCACCUCCAUGGAAAGCCUACUAUGACGACAAAAUCCAAUCACAUUACUACUACAACGAGGAGACAAAGAGUACGCAAUGGGAGCAUCCGCUAGACAACGUAUACAGGGAGCUCGUGAAGAAGGCGCGCGAUGCUUCCAUGCAAGAUGACACCUGCGCUUCUGUACAGGAACUCCUCACAUCAGAAGAGAACACAAAAAACCUAGAACGAGUAGAAACGAAGGUCGAAAGCGAUGAAGAACUUAGCACGGACAGUGAGAACCACGCGUCUGACGUCAGAGAAAACCCGACCCUUACUGGACCCAGGCGCCUAACACCUUUAGGAAGACCCCCACCAUCUCCCCUUAGCAGAAUCGACAAGAAACUAAGCGACACUCGAAUAUCGCCUCUAAGGCGCAGUGUAGACGGUUCACUUUCGGGCAAACCAAGUCUAAUGAGGAAUACGUCGGAUAGAGACUUGCUUAGUCGUCCUGCGUUUGGGGCUGAAAGACCAAAGUUAUUGUUCAAACAGCAAUCAGAGAUUAUUGAUUUGAAGAUGCACGUGUUGAACAGUCCUGAGGAAGAGAAUUUUAGCCCGUUGCUGAUGUCUUCUAAAAUUGAGAGGGGGUUUCCAUUGACAGGCAAAGGGAGCAUGUUUCUCAAAGUUUCAAAAUCCGAUCUCCCGAGUCCAGAUACUGACAAAUCUUUGCCAAUAGAUUCCGUCACUAAAAGUGAUCCGCCUAAAGGCAUACUGCGGGAGAAAAUGUCUGACGCAUUGCAUAAGAAAGUUGACAAUAUCUUCAUGGGAAGACAUAAGCAGCCUGCUAGUUUUGAAGAGGAUAGGAAAAGUGUUAGAUUCAAACUCGAAAACUUACCCGAACCGACCGUCAGUCCGGGCUCAAACAGCUCCUCAGAACAGAACGAUGGCCAAAGCUCAAUCAUAUCAGCUACCCCCCACCCAUCUAUUCCGUCCCCUAUCAUCCCGUCAUCACCCCUCGUCCCGUCAUCACCUCUCGUUCCAUCAUCUCCCGUGUCAUCACACCUCGUGGGGUCAUCGCCCGCUGUGCCAUUGAACCAGAUAGUUUUGACCCCUUUGGCUGCAAGACCCCCUUUGCCUCCGAGGCCUAAUGAAAGUCCGAGGGAGGUGAAGAGUCUGUCCGGUUCUGAAAGGGAUUCUGUUGACAGCGACAGCUACGCUCGUGGCACUUCACCUCGACGCCGCGUGCUAAGGCCUCCGCCAGGCGACUAUAUCAAACCCGACCUAUUUCAGAAGAACUUCCAAAAGAUAUCGGAUCUAGUCAGACCGGGAGACAUCGAUACUUUGUCGGUUAAUCUGGAAGAACCUGGGGCUUCUGAGAAGGAGACACGGCCAAGAUCACCAAUGAUACCUCAAAAAAAUAAAAUAUCAAUAAAUCUAAUGGAGAGUAUCGAAUCGGAAACUUCAAUAGACUCCCCAGACAGAGAAUUCGCGAAUCUAGACCUCAACGAUUUAGACGAUUCCAACGAAAGAGAAAAAAAUAGUAACGAAAAAGAAAUAGAAAAAGAUGGUCCAAAAUCUGAAGAGAGUUCAGACAAAAAGUCGAUAAACUCAGAUAAGAUACGUUCAAACGAAAACAUUCAAAUACCUCAAAUCAAAGUUCCUAUAUUAGACUUUUCAAAAGUUGCAUCCGAUUCUGACGAUUCAAAGAAAACUUCAGGACGGGAUGAUGAAUCGAAGUCGAAGUCUCACGAGGCCUCUAUAAAGUCGCCGCAGAUCAAAGUUUCGCCUACACCCAGUUUGGGUUCCGAAAUGAGGUCCCCACGACUGGACUAUGCUAAACCUUGGAGUCCUUUAUCGACUUUCAAGCCUAACAAGUCCGUAAUGGGACCUAUAAAGACUUCGGACUCGGCUUCGAGCCUAGGAAAAGGCCUAACAAGUCCUAGAUUAGACGGGGUUAUUCUAUCGCAAGGGAAAUCUAGUUCUGACAAUGUAGUGGUAGUAUAUCAAUUUGAAACUCAAGAGGACACGUUUCCGAAGCCUAUAAAAUCUCCUCUAAUUCCCGAUAUGGGAACAAGAGAUCUGAUAGAGAGGAACAAAGCAGAUGAGAAGAGAAGACUGGAGUUAGCUUUACAGAAGGAGUUGGAGAGUAUUAGAGUAGAGUGGUCGGUUAGGGAGAGGAAGUUGAGAGCGGAAUUAUUAGAGGAGUUGAGGGAGACGGAGGAGAAAUUUGUAGCGGAGAAGAGAAUGAGAUUGAAUGAGCAAGCUGAAAGGCAUCGGAGAGAGAUGGAUGAGGCUCUAGCACAAGCCGAACAAACACACAGACAAACACUAGAACAAGCAACGUUGGAGCUGGAUGAACGAAAUCAACAAGACAUCGAGUUGGCUGAGCGACAGCAUUUAGACAAUAUGAACAAAAUACAUCAACAGUACAGGGAUAAGCUUAUUGAGCAACAACGCCAGUUGGAAAUAGAAAACGAACGCACACUAUCAGAACUAAGGGAUCAAUUACAAGCCAACUUGGCGAAGGAACGCAGCCGUAUGAUAGAAGAGAACAGAGCGACCAUAGAGUCUCUGAGAGAAGAACAUACUACUAGAGUCACUGAUCUUAGGCAUGAUUAUAGAGCUGAGAUAGAAAGACUCCGCACCCAGCAUGCCUGUCACCUAGAAGAAGUGCGAGCCCGCCUGGCGAGCUCGCGGGCGGCGGGCGGGCGCCUGGGCGACGAGCGGGCGCUGCAGGACAAGUACAAGUGCCUCAAGGAGAAGUACGUGCGACUCAAGCACGAUGUUAAGAUGUCAAUUGAACGCCGGAACAAAAGACGAGAGAUGAGCAUGACUACUGGAUCAGAAACUGAAAAGUCAAAUUCACAUAAAGCCAACCAAUCACUAGAAAGAUGUAAAGAACUAAACGAGACAUCGGUGAGCGCAGUGGUCGAACCGGAGCCGCCUCGGCGCAUGAACAACAACCCGAGCCUCAAGUAUAAUGACAACGAGACUUCUUACUCAGAAACUAACGCGCACAAACCUGACAAUAAUAAUGAUGACUGGAAAAUUAGGAGGGAUAAUCCAGCACCAUCAGCGGACACGUCCCAAGCUUCCGCAGUACGUCCGCGUCCGCGUCGCUCGGCAGUGGCGUUCCGCGAGCCGCCGCGGCGCCGCCACAGAGAUACAGGUGACCACAUCAUGUAGACUUACGUGCUACAACUGACUGCCAGGACUCGUCCGAUGCCACCACAGCCGAUGAGAAACCUAAAGAAAAUGUUAACGGACAUGGCCGACGCAGAUGUUUUACAAGAUUAAAAUCAGCCUCCACAUCUCGGCUGAAUUAUUCAC
rnacentral:misc_RNA from 1 species